ensembl:snRNA U6 U6 spliceosomal RNA
GUGCUUGCUUCGGAAGUACAUAUACUAAAAUUUGCCCAAUCCAGAGAAUAUUAGCAUGUCCCCUGCUCAAGGAUGACACACAGAAUGACAAAAUUUCAGUUGCU